GACGGAGGAGGCAAGCGUUAUCCGGAAUUAUUGGGCGUAAAGGGUGCGUAGGUGGUCAGACAAGUCCCAUGUCAAAGCGUGGUGCUUAACGCCAUACAGGCGUGGGAAACUGUGUGACUAGAGUACAGCAGGGGCAGGAGGAAUUCCCGGUGUAGCGGUGAAAUGCGUAGAUAUCGGGAAGAACACCAGUGGCGCAAGCGUUCUGCUGGGCUGUAACUGACACUGAGGCACGAAAGCUAGGGGAGCGAAUGGG
rnacentral:rRNA from 1 species